CAUGGUCCUCUUUAGUUCUUCAGAUCAUGGCAAAACUCUUACUGGUAUUCUGAGCUGACACAGUAUUAUGUGUGUGGAUUUGAAUGAAUAGUUGUCUGUUUCCUUGUAGGGUUGGCUACCAGGUGAGUUCAGAUACCACGUGUGCCAGUAUGAAGAGGUGGUUUCACUGGGGGACCACACUGGUUUUGAGGCCACUUUGAGGCUGGAUGUCCACACUGUGGAACAGGUCAAGGAGUGGGUACAAAAGCUGAAGGGGUCAUCAGGGGUGACAUGGAGGGUGGAUGUUACCCGACCCAGGUUGGGGAAGCGGGUGCUUUUCAAAGCAAGUUAUAAGUGUCAGCAUAGGGUGAACCCGAGAGCAGCCAAAAGCAGCAAGAACACCUGCUGUCAAGCAAAAAUGCACACGACACUCAAGAGUACUCGUGGGGAAAUGAAGACCGAAGACCCACACAUGCCUGACCUACCAUUUAAGGUUAUUCUAAUAAACAGGCACAACCACAAUCUUUUUGUUGCGGACGCCAUCCGCCACCGAGAUGUUGG